rnacentral:rRNA from 1 species
AGGGAAUCUUCGGCAAUGGACGAAAGUCUGACCGAGCAACGCCGCGUGAGUGAAGAAGGUUUUCGGAUCGUAAAACUCUGUUGGUAGAGAAGAACGUUGGUGAGAGUGGAAAGCUCAUCAAGUGACGGUAACUACCCAGAAAGGGACGGCUAACUACGUGCCAGCAGCCGCGGUAAUACGUAGGUCCCGAGCGUUGUCCGGAUUUAUUGGGCGUAAAGCGAGCGCAGGUGGUUUAUUAAGUCUGGUGUAAAAGGCAGUGGCUCAACCAUUGUAUGCAUUGGAAACUGGUAGACUUGAGUGCAGGAGAGGAGAGUGGAAUUCCAUGUGUAGCGGUGAAAUGCGUAGAUAUAUGGAGGAACACCGGUGGCGAAAGCGGCUCUCUGGCCUGUAACUGACACUGAGGCUCGAAAGCGUGGGGAGCAAACAGGAUUAGAUACCCUGGUAGUCCACGCCGUAAACGAUGAGUGCUAGAUGUAGGGAGCUAUAAGUUCUCUGUAUCGCAGCUAACGCAAUAAGCACUCCGCCUGGGGAGUACGACCGCAAGGUUGAAAC